rnacentral:rRNA from 1 species
AUUGAACGCUGGCGGCAUGCCUUACACAUGCAAGUCGAACGGCAGCGGACCUUCGGGUGCCGGCGAGUGGCGAACGGGUGAGUAAUAUAUCGGAACGUACCUUUCAGUGGGGGAUAACGUAGCGAAAGUUACGCUAAUACCGCAUAUUCUGUGAGCAGGAAAGCAGGGGAUCGCAAGACCUUGCGCUGAUUGAGCGGCCGAUAUCAGAUUAGCUAGUUGGUGGGGUAAAGGCCUACCAAGGCUACGAUCUGUAGCGGGUCUGAGAGGAUGAUCCGCCACACUGGAACUGAGACACGGUCCAGACUCCUACGGGAGGCAGCAGUGGGGAAUUUUGGACAAUGGGGGCAAGCCUGAUCCAGCCAUGCCGCGUGAGUGAAGAAGGCCCUGGUUGUAAAGCUCUUUCGGUCCGGGAGGAAAUACGCACAGGUUAAUACCCUGUGUGGAUGACGGUACCGGAAUAAGAAGACACCGGCUAAC